CCUACGGGGGGCAGCAGUAGGGAAUCUUCCACAAUGGGCGAAAGCCUGAUGGAGCAACGCCGCGUGGGUGAAGAAGGUCUUCGGAUCGUAAAACCCUGUUGUUAGAGAAGAAAGUGCGUGAGAGUAACUGUUCACGUUUCGACGGUAUCUAACCAGAAAGCCACGGCUAACUACGUGCCAGCAGCCGCGGUAAUUCGUAGGUGGCAAGCGUUAUCCGGAUUUAUUGGGAGUAAAGGGAACGCAGGGGGUCUUUUAAGUGUGAUGUGAAAGCCUUCGGCUUAACCGGAGUAGUGCAUUGGAAACUGGGAGACGUGAGUGCAGAAGAGGAGAGUGGAAUGCGAGGUGUAGCGGUGAAAUGCGUAGAUAUCUGGAAGAACACCAGUGGCGAAAGCGGCUCUCUGGUCUGUAACUGACGCUGAGGUUCGAAAGCGUGGGUAGCAAACAGGAUUAGAUACCCCUGUAGUC
rnacentral:rRNA from 1 species